rnacentral:tRNA from 1 species
CUUAGCUCAGCUGGAUAGAGCACCUGACUUCUAAUCAGACGGUCGCAGGUUCGAAUCCUGCAG